UUGUUUCAUUUUAAAAGAUGUUGUGUCAACCCUUGUUGCAGUAUGUGGGGAUGGUGCCCUGGUCACACUGAUCCUGAGGAAGGCUGGGAAAUGAGUGACAGAUCUGCCUGAGCAAGGAGCAGCUCCCAUCUGGCCCCUCCACUGCCCCAGCUGCAGAGGGUUUCUGAAGAAACAAAUACCCAUCCAAAAUAACUGGAGUUCUCCAUGUUCAGGAUGCAAUUGCCAAAAAUGCCUUCCAAGAGACAGGGAGAAUUCAACCUCCCCCAGGAAAAAGAGGGGAUAUUUCAUUAACUGAAGGUGCUAUACACAUGUUGCUUGCUGAAGGAGAUAUGGCUUGAUCUCGGAUUUUGACAUUUUGGUAACUACCAAACAAAAAUAAAACUAAACUGAAGUAUGCCUAUCCCUCCCCUGAAAAUCAAGUGGCAUUUAGCAAUAUUGACUUGAACAAUAAAUAAAUCUAUUCAACAAUCAAA